AACGUAGGACGCAAGCGUUAUCCGGAGUUACUGGGCGUAAAGCGCGGGCAGGCGGUUGUCUAAGUCUGAUGUGAAAUCUCCUCGCUCAACGGGGAGCAGCCAUUGGAAACUGGGCAACUGGAGUCUGGCAGAGGUAGGCGGAAUUCCGGGUGGAGUGGUGAAAUGCGUAGAGAUCCGGAGGAACACCAGAGGCGAAGGCGGCCUACUGGGCCAGUACUGACGCUGAGCCGCGAAAGCCAGGGGAGCGAACGGG
rnacentral:rRNA from 2 species